rnacentral:rRNA from 1 species
ACGUAGGGGGCGAGCGUUGUCCGGAAUUACUGGGCGUAAAGGGUGCGUAGGCGGCCUCUUCCUUGGUAUUGGAAAUACCCGGGCUUAACCUGGGGGGUGCAUCCAAUACUGGUUGGCUAGAGUGCAGGAGAGGGAAGCGGAAUUCCUAGUGUAGCGGUGAAAUGCGUAGAUAUUAGGAGGAACACCAGUGGCGGAGGCGGCAUACUGGACUGGAACUGACGCUGAUGCACGAAAGCGUGGGGAGCAAACAG